rnacentral:rRNA from 1 species
GGCUAGAGUUUGAUCAUGGCUCAGGAUAAACGCUGGCGGCGCACAUAAGACAUGCAAGUCGAACGGACUUAACUCGAAGUUUACUUUGAGAGCGGUUAGUGGCGGACUGGUGAGUAACACGUAAGCAACCUGCCUAUCAGAGGGGAAUAACAGUGAGAAAUCAUUGCUAAUACCGCAUAUGCUUACACUAUCGCAUGAUAGAGUAAGGAAAGGAGUAAUCUGCUGAUAGAUGGGCUUGCGUCUGAUUAGCUAGUUGGUGAGGUAACGGCUUACCAAGGCGACGAUCAGUAGCCGGACUGAGAGGUUGAACGGCCACAUUGGGACUGAGAUACGGCCCAGACUCCUACGGGAGGCAGCAGUCGGGAAUAUUGCGCAAUGGAGGAAACUCUGACGCAGUGACGCCGCGUAUAGGAAGAAGGUUUUCGGAUUGUAAACUAUUGUCGUUAGGGAAGAUACAAGACAGUACCUAAGGAGGAAGCACCGGCUAACUAUGUGCCAGCAGCCGCGGUAAUACAUAGGGUGCGAGCGUUAUCCGGAAUUAUUGGGUGUAAAGGGUGCGUAGAUGGGAAGACAAGUUAGUUGUGAAAUCCCUCGGCUCAACUGAGGAACUGCAACUAAAACUAUCUUUCUUGAGUAUCGGAGAGGAAAGUGGAAUUCCUAGUGUAGCGGUGAAAUGCGUAGAUAUUAGGAGGAACACCAGUGGCGAAGGCGACUUUCUGGACGAUAACUGACGUUGAGGCACGAAAGUGUGGGGAGCAAACAGGAUUAGAUACCCUGGUAGUCCACACCGUAAACGAUGGAUACAAGGUGUAGGGUGUAUUUAGCAUUCUGUGCCGCCGCUAACGCAUUAAGUAUCCCACCUGGGGAGUACGACCGCA